GAGACACUCUUAUGGGGCAGGACUUUCUUCAGUGGGGCUUUGGUGCUCACUGAGUCUGUCCCUUGAGUGUGUCGCU
rnacentral:pre_miRNA from 1 species